AUCCUACGGGGCGCAGCAGUGGGGGAUAUUGCACAAUGGGGGAAACCCUGAUGCAGCAACGCCGCGUGAGUGAAGAAGUAUUUCGGUAUGUAAAGCUCUAUCAGCAGGGAAGAGAAUGACGGUACCUGACUAAGAAGCCCCGGCUAACUACGAGCCAGCAGCCGCGGGAAUACGAAGGGGGCGAGCGUUAUCCGGAUUUACUGGGUGUAAAGGGAGCGUAGACGGCUGGGCAAGUCUGAAGUGAAAGCCCGGGGCUUAACCCCGGAACGGCGUUGGAAACUGAGCAGCUAGAGGGCUGGAGAGGG
rnacentral:rRNA from 1 species